rnacentral:tRNA from 1 species
UCCGGUAUGGUCUAGUGGUUAGGAUACCUGGCUUUCACCCAGGAGGCUCAGGUUCGAUUCCCGGUACCGGAA